CGAGGUUAAGGACUUCAAGUACUGACCAGUGGGAUGUGGUUUGGCGUGUGCUCAUUGUUUCAGCAACAAUCAUCAGUGACUGGUGAAGGAUGAGCGAUUAAGCUAGACUCACUUCAUCAAGAUGUGUGUGACUAGCAGAACUAUGAGAGUAUUCAACAAAACAGCUACAGGUACCAUUCUAGCUGGGCUGCCACUGAGUACAUAGAUCACAGUGGGCUUUAGAUCCAGACCCACCAAAAGUUAUGAAAAGAUUAGACAGGACCUACCCAACAACGGAAUCUUGAGAUGGCGUCUUCUUCAUCGUAUGUGACCAGGUAGGACUUCAUGUCCUCCAUCCAGAAACCCACACAGGUCAAAAUGUGAUCAGGCUCAUCUGUGCAAGUUGGCUUACAUAAAGUUGAACGUGUAAGCACUUACUGAUCAGGACUUCAUACUUCCAGUCUGUAUCAUUACGGUUAAAGGUGAACGACUGCCAACUACAAACUUCACGGAACUUUUUGGUCAUGAACUGCGGGUCUGCUAUUUCUUCUGGUGUUAGACGUGAAGGCUUACCUUGGGUGGACAAACAAAACAAGAAGUUAUGGCAAGGGAGACAACUAACUUAGAAGUAUCCUUCUGUACUGUAUCAGCAAUGGCAGAAAAUGUGUAGCCUGUAUUUCCAAUAACAGCAAACCAGGACACCUGGCGUAUGUGAUCAAAAACACCUGGUUGUCAACAUAUGCUGACCCUGGGUCCUGGCACGCCUUGAGGACACUGUCUGGGUUGUCACAGAUACCACCACCGCCCCAGCUGACUUCAUACGUGAACUGGUACACGCCUUCCCAAGUCUCAAUACAGUUCACAGUCUUUAGUGUUUGACCUAAAAAUAAAACAAGUCUCCAGAAAAAAAAAUGAACCUACGGAAAAGUGUUGUCAGUUGGUCUUGAGAUGGAAGUUGGUUGACACCUUUACACAUGACUUUGAAGUCAGUUUCUGUUGUGAAGCAGCUACCUGAAUAAACGUGGCAGUUAAUUAGCUAAUGAGCUUUUUCUUAUCUCUAGCAUUGCCAAAAAAUGUACAAGAAUACUAUGUCGACAUAUCUAAAUCAAAACAUUUCUCAAUUAUUAACAAAACCUAUUAGCCCUUAUUUAAAAUUAAAAUAGCAAAAAAAAAAAAAAAAAAAAACACAGCUAAAAUUAGAUAUAAGACAAUGCAACUCUUGCAUACAUUUUGUUUGGUUAAGUUUGAAAACAGUCAAAUUUAGAUACUACACUUACUCUUCCUGUACUGAAGAAUAUUUGGAGUUCUCCAUAGAAUAUCAACACACAUAAGACAGUUGUCUCCCCCCCUGAAGAUAAAAACAAACAAUUGAUCUUAAAGCUUUUCUCCAUAUGAUGAAGUGCUAUUAACUAUUGGAUUAUCAUUUAUUUGUGUAAGAUUAAUUAGCCAAACAUUCUUUAAACAGCUUUAAGAAGGAUGAAAAUAUUACAAUAGUAUUUAAAUAAAAUAAAACUAUUUAAAAUUAUUACUUAUUACUUCGUUAAGACAGAUUUAUCAAGUGACAUUAAAUGAAUGAUCUCUUCUUCUUCUUCGUUCUUAAUUAUUAGUGUUGAAGGGGAUCGAGAUUUAUCUGCGAGUGGGUUUGAACUCGAGACUUAAAUGAAUGAUGAAUACGUAAAUCUAAGCCAAUAAACAGAUUGAUCCUCUAUGUUGUUUUGCCCAUCUCAAUAAAGUCAAUUGUUAAUAUUUCUGAAAAUAAUUCAUUUAUUUCAGGGAAAAGCCCAGAAUUUUUGGCUUAUCAGUAAAUUACAGUAGACUUCCAGGAAUCUAAGGAGGCCAAAACACAUGGUCAUGUUGACACCUUCCACAAACUGGGCCUCUAUUGGAUGCUGGUACUGUUUCAGGCAGAUCAUGUCACCCCAGCGGUCUUUGGAAACUGGAGUAAACACAUCGGCACCAGU